rnacentral:rRNA from 1 species
AGAGUUUGAUUAUGGCUCAGGAUGAACGCUGGCGGCGUGCUUAACACAUGCAAGUCGAACGGAGUUUUAACGGAAGUUUCGGAUGGAAGUUUAAGAACUUAGUGGCGGACGGGUGAGUAACGCGUGGGUAACCUGCCUCAUACAGGGGGAUAACAGUUAGAAAUGACUGCUAACACCGCAUAAUAUAGUGAAACCGCAUGAUUUUGCUAUCAAAUAUUUAUAGGUAUGAGAUGGGCCCGCGUCUGAUUAGCUAGUUGGUGGGGUAAAAGCCUACCAAGGCGACGAUCAGUAGCCGGCUUGAGAGAGUGACCGGCCACAUUGGGACUGAGACACGGCCCAAACUCCUACGGGAGGCAGCAGUGGGGAAUAUUGGACAAUGGGGGAAACCCUGAUCCAGCGAACCGCCGCGUGAGUGAAGAAGUAUUUCGGUAUGUAAAGCUCUAUCAGCAGGGAAGAUAAUGACAGUACCUGACUAAGAAGCCCCGGCUAACUACGUGCCAGCAGCCGC